rnacentral:rRNA from 1 species
GAUGAACGCUGGCGGCGUGCCUAAUACAUGCAAGUCGAGCGAACAGACGAGGCGCUUGCUCCUCUGACGUUAGCGGCGGACGGGUGAGUAACAUGUGGAUAACCUACCUAUAAGACUGGGAUAACUUCGGGAAACCGGAGCUAAUACCGGAUAAUAUAUUGAUCCGCAUGGUUCAAUAGUGAAAGACGGUUUUGCUGUCACUUAUAGAUGGAUCCGCGCUGCAUUAGCUAGUUGGUAAGGUAACGGCUUACCACGGCAACGAUGCGUAGCCGACCUGAGAGGGUGAUCGGCCACACUGGAACUGAGACACGGACCAGACUCCUACGGGAGGCAGCAGUAGGGAAUCUUCCGCAAUGGGCGAAAGCCUGACGGAGCAACGCCGCGUGAGUGAUAGAGGUCUUCGGAGCGUAAAACUCUGUUAUUAGGUAAGAACAAAUGUGUAAGUAACUAUGCACGUCUUGACGGUACCUAAUCAGAAAGCCACGGCUAACUACGUG